GACAGAGGGUGCAAGCGUUGUUCGGAAUCAUUGGGCGUAAAGGGCGCGUAGGCGGUUUUGCAAGUCGAAUGUGAAAGCCCAGGGCUCAACCUUGGAAGUGCAUCCGAAACUGCGAAACUUGAAUCCUGGAGAGGGUGGUGGAAUUCCCAGUGUAGAGGUGAAAUUCGUAGAUAUCGGGAGGAACACCAGUGGCGAAGGCGGCGACCUGGGCCAAUAUUGACGCUGAGGUGCGAAAGCGUGGGGAGCAAACAGG
rnacentral:rRNA from 1 species